rnacentral:rRNA from 1 species
UACAGAGGGGGCAAGCGCUGUUCGGAAUUACUGGGCGUAAAGGGCGCGUAGGCGGCCAACUAAGUCAGACGUGAAAUCCCCCGGCUCAACCGGGGAACUGCGUCUGAUACUGGAUGGCUUGAGUUCGGGAGAGGGAAGUGGAAUUCCAGGUGUAGCGGUGAAAUGCGUAGAUAUCUGGAGGAACACCGGUGGCGAAGGCGGCUUCCUGGACCGACACUGACGCUGAGGCGCGAAAGCCAGGGGAGCAAACGGG